rnacentral:rRNA from 1 species
CCUACGGGUGGCAGCAGUGAGGAAUAUUGGUCAAUGGCCGGGAGGCUGAACCAGCCAAGUCGCGUGAGGGAAGAAGGCCCUACGGGUUGUAAACCUCUUUUGUCGGGGAGCAAAGCCAACCACGUGUGGUUCAUUGAGAUUACUCGAAGAAAAAGCAUCGGCUAACUCCGUGCCAGCAGCCGCGGUAAUCCGGAGGAUGCGAGCGUUAUCCGGAUUUAUUGGGUUUAAAGGGUGCGUAGGCGGAGGGUAAAGUCAGCGGUAACAUUGCGGGGCUCAACCCCGUACUGCCGUUGAAACUGGAUGCCUUGAGUGCGCGAGAGGUAUGCGGAAUGCGUGGUGUAGCGGUGAAAUGCAUAGAUAUCACGCAGAACUCCGAUUGCGAAGGCAGCAUACCGGCGCGCAACUGACGCUCAUGCACGAAAGCGUGGGUAUCGAACAGGAUUAGAUACCCCAGUAGUC